GUAGGCAGGAGAAGAGAGAGCAGCUGGCAUAACAAUGUUGUGGCGUUUCUGACUGCGUGGGGUACAAUGAUGUCAGAGAGGAUGUUGAAAAUACCUGAAAGAAUAGGUGUUUGACCUGGACAGGAGAGGCGAAUUACACAUACAGAGGAUGGUUUAGUGAAUCAGUUAGUGGUGACAAAGAAAUCAUCCAUCUUUCUUUCCGCCUCUGACGACUUUGUUCCAGACUUGCACUCAAGGACCAGUGCUGGAGCCAAAAUAAUGGAAAGGAAAAAUACAUUUGGGAGAUGAGAGGAUGCAGCUCAUAGAGGGACGUGAAGCUCCGACAACAUAAUCAUCAUGUUCAAUGUUAUAAGCCAUGUAAGCUAUGGAUCAUUAUGAUUAUGAUAAUUGUGUGUAACUGGAUAUUUAACAUGUGUACAACAACCACAAGCAAACCUAACUAUGAUUUUG
ensembl:lncRNA